GGGGGCGUUUUUGGUUUCGACGGGAAUUCAAGAACUUUGUACCACAUGUCGAGGCGCAUCUCCUCGUUAAAAAUUUGCAUCUAAAUGUAAUUGCAGAUAACAAUCUCGCAUUAGCAGCUUAAUGCUGCUCGGUUACCAAGUGCUGCCUGUCGUGCUGAAGUAAUUGUCAUACAAUGACUGGCUGGUUCCAAAAAACCGGAUCAGGGGUUUGCGGAACGAGACGUUCCUGAUGGGGUGUUGAGUUUUUUCUCUGUGAUUCGAGCUCUUCACCGACACCAUAAUCACAGAAAAGCAUGUAAACGUAGAGAGGGAAGGUUCUCGGACCCGGGUUCGACUCCCGGCGCCUCCACCA
rnacentral:tmRNA from 1 species